rnacentral:rRNA from 1 species
CAAUAGCGUAUAUUAAAGUUGUUGCAGUUAAAAAAGCUCGUAGUUGGAUUUCUGGGAGGGUGCCAAUGUCCGUCGUCGUACGUGUUGCAGCGGCGCCCUUCCAUCCUUCUGUUAACGACUUUGGGCAUUCAUUUGCCGGAGUCGGGCUCAGAUAUUUUACCUUGAGAAAAUUAGAGUGUUUCAAGCAGGCACACGCCUUGAAUACAUUAGCAUGGAAUAAUAAGAUAGGACCUUGGUUCUAUUUUGUUGGUUUCUAGAGCUGAGGUAAUGAUUAAUAGGGAUAGUUGGGGGCAUUCGUAUUUAACUGUCAGAGGUGAAAUUCUUGGAUUCGGUCAAGACUAACUUAUGCGAAAGCAUUCACCAAGGAUGUCUUCUUUAAUCAAGAACGAAAGUUGGGGGAUCGAAGACGAUCAGAUACCAU